ACAACCUCAACUCCUUCUUCAUUGCGGAGAAAGAGUUGGAUUUGAGCAUUUCCACAAGUUCGUCUUGGAGGAUUGCUUGAAAUACGAGGUUCGGCCGGCAGUUGCCUGGGCUACAAGCAUUUCAUACUUAAUCCCGUCAAACGGAUUAUAUCCUUUGCUGCAGCCAACAUACAGGGUGACUUUUUGCCAGUGUUCCGACUGAUGCAGGAAAGUUGAGAACUUGGUUCUCUUCUAA
rnacentral:misc_RNA from 1 species